rnacentral:misc_RNA from 1 species
ACUAUGUUGCCAGCACUGGCUUGUACUCACUAGUCACACUCAAAACUCGAUAUUUACAUAUCUAGAGCCUAGUGUCGGGUCCUUUUCAUCUGUUUACGAAUUACGUAAUUAUUGUAGUUUUGUAUGAUCUCGCGCGCGCGGGUGUAUACAUGCAUUUACACAUAUAAACAAGUUUACGGAUUUCUAAGAGCUCUGCUUAAAUUUUCAUUUUAGUUCUUUUCUACUUUUUUUUUUAGACGAGCGUUAGGCUCGACGAAAAUAUUUAUAAUACUUCUUUCAUUUCGUCCGAAUGAAAUAAGGGUAUGUUUAGCAAAAUGCUAUUCAAGUUUAAUAUAAGAUAAACGGAUACGGUUUGUGAUUAGUAGUGGCUAGUUUGUUGUGUUUGGUUAGAAACCUUCGUAUUUAAAAAGAGCCCUAAGGAAGUUUCAGGCAAUUGACCAUCAAUUUAAAAUAAAAAAUGGCCUCUACUGAUAUCCAAAAUAGAGCAGAAUCUGGGACAGAGGAUUCAAAAUUGAAAGCCACAGUUGAAGGUGUUCUAAAUGGAGAGAGCCCAAAGGAAAAUGGUGAUAAGGAAUUGAGUAAUGGAACUGAAUCUACUAUAAGUAAAGAAAAAGAUGAAAUAGUAAGUCAAAAAGAUGUGCAGACUGAUGGCGAAUUAGUGAAUGGAAGGAAAUAUGAAGAAAGAGAAUCUAUAGAGACAGAAGAAAAUAUUGAUGUAGUUGGUGACGAUGAUGAAUUGGUUGAACUGGAGAAAGAGAAAGAGGUAAAGGAAUCUGAUAAAGUCGAUAAAACAAGAAUUGUGCAAGUCCUGCUUGAAGAAUCAAGAGAGAGCCCCACAUCAAAAGCACAAUUGUCUGAAAAGUUGAAUGACUCUUUUUGUAAGGAGGAAAACAACACAAAAAUGACAAAUGAAAUAAUAACCCCUGACUUCACUAGGAGUAAGUAUGGUGCUGGUUUUAAAAUGAGUGGGAGGAGGCCAUUGAGGGGUAUUGUUUCUCCACACCCAGCAUCAAAAAGAAAAGCGAGUUAUAGUAUUAAUGACUCACCUAAUAAAAAGAAAAUUAAAGAAUCUACGUCUUCAGAAGGCUCCAGAUGGAAUUAUUUUUCUUCUCCUUUUCGAUUUUGGAAUUAUAAAGAAAACUGUACAUCUACAAAUAGUCAACAGGUGUCACCCAAUGAUUCAAUGGUUGUUAACGUAGAUGAUUUGUCGAUGAUUAACAAUAGAAUAGAUGAUUCUCAAUUUGAAAAUGACUGGCCAGAAGGAAACAAACCAUUUUGGAAAAUGUGUAAUAUAAUGUGAACUACACUUUAUUUCUGCCAUAUGUAUGUCAUCAAUUAAAAAAGUGGAUUGAAAAAAGUAAGGCAUGUCCUGAAAAUAUUGUGUUGCUCUAUUACAUACAAAAUUUUUAGUAUGAUUGUAAAUACUAUGACAGUUUCUAUUUGGAUUUGGAAACAAAUUGCAAUAAAAAAGACAAGUUUUUUGUAAUUCUUAUUAAGUUACUUAACUUGUAGACAAACAUGAAUUAUUUUUUCUUUAUUUUGUAAAAUAUUAGUAUUAGAUGCAAUUUAUGACAAAUAUUGCUGUUGUAAUAAAAGUUUUAGUACAUGUGUAAAUUAAUGUUAAAAAUGAAAUGACCUUUCAAUCAUCACUUCUUAGACCCCUUGAUAUGACUCAGCAGUCUGAACUUUACUUCUCGGCCAAGUCACAAUUGCCUAGCUGAACAAAUUAAAACUGUAUAUAAACAAAAACAACACAUUUACUUAUAAAUACAAUCAAAUGUUAUUUAAUCUAAUGGCCACAAAACCAAAAAACAAAUUAAAUAAAAAUAUGACUACAUAGUCCUAAAAUAAAGAGUAAUAUGCAAAACUUGUAAGUCAUACAAAGAGCCACUUGUUUAUGUGGAAGCUGCUACCACAUUUGAGAAGGUUCAGCUGCAGAAUUUAAUGUAAGUUUCCCUUUAUCAUUUUAACACCAGUUCACCGAGCGAAUGUCUCCCAUCAUUCAUCUGUUCUCAGCAAAUGGGCCCAACAAUGUUCAUGUGGCUUUUUGAAAGUGAACACGGACUCUCACCCUUGUCCAGCUUUUCAAAACUUCCAGAUUAUCAUGUAUAUAUCUUAUAUUAUUUGAUCCAGUGUGUAAAUACUUCUGAAUUUGGAAAUAAGUCAGUUAAUCUGAACAGGGCUUGGUUCCAAUUAGAUCAGAUUAGUGAGACUACUGUAAUGGGUAAGAGUUGAGAUACAAAUUUUUAUAGUAAUUUAUUUUUUAUGGCUUUGUGUUAAUACUGAUUCCAAAUCAAAUCGAAUCUAUAACCAGUGUCUUAUGAUAAUAUUUGGUGGAUUUAAGUUGACAAUUCUGAAACAAACUGUAAUAUUUAUUCAUUUGUAUAUAUUUUUUGCCAUGUUGCAACACAGGAACAAUUGUGAUCCACAAACAGUGAUUUGACAUCCAAAGUUUUGUUGUUCAUGUUUAGACUUCUGUUCAAGUUAUGAGGCAUUUCUUUUCAGUUGAAACAUGACUUCAAAUGUGUGGCCACUCACUUGACCGUUUCCUCAACUUUUACCCAUUGCAUGUUUUAUUUAUAGCAGUAAAAAAUAAAACAGUCCAAGUAGAUUUACUGUGUAAUGCUAAAAUUACUGGAUUAAAUUAAGAAAAAAAUUAAAAAUGGGAGAAAAUGAUUUAGUUCUGUUGUCAAAUAAAUGUAAAUGACUGGAUUGAAAAUCCAGACGUUUGCCUUUUGCCACAGAUUAACAGGCUAUCUAGAUUAUCCAAUACUGUGCAAUGGAUUUGAAAUAUGAAAACUAUUCUAUAUUCUUUUUGUAAAGUAUUUAGUAAUUGUGACAUUUUUUAAUUUGUAGUGGAAACUGUUUGGUUUUAUUUACUUAUUAGAACAACCAGGAAAGCGGCUGGUAUGUAUUAAGUUUAUUUUUACUGAGGAUUAUAUUGAAAAUGUAAU